rnacentral:rRNA from 1 species
UACGGAGGGAGCUAGCGUUGUUCGGAAUUACUGGGCGUAAAGCGCGCGUAGGCGGCUUUGCAAGUUAGAGGUGAAAGCCCGGAGCUCAACUUCGGAAUUGCCUUUAAAACUGCAUCGCUUGAAUCCGGGAGAGGUGAGUGGAAUUCCGAGUGUAGAGGUGAAAUUCGUAGAUAUUCGGAAGAACACCAGUGGCGAAGGCGGCUCACUGGACCGGCAUUGACGCUGAGGUGCGAAAGCGUGGGGAGCAAACAGG